GUCCACGCCGUAAACGAUGAACACUAGGUGUCGUGGGUAUUGACCCCCGCGGUGCCGUAGCUAACGCAUUAAGUGUUCCGCCUGGGAAGUACGGUCGCAAGACUAAAACUCAAAGGAAUUGACGGGGCCCGCACAAGCGGUGGAGCAUGUGGUUUAAUUCGACGCAACGCGCAGAACCUUACCUGGGCUGGAAAGUCAUUGGAAGUCGGACGAAAGUUUGAUGUGCCCGCAAGGGAGCCAGUGGACAGGUGCUGCAUGGCUGUCGU
rnacentral:rRNA from 1 species